GGAGAAAAGCAGGGGAUCGCAAGACCUUGCGCUUUUGGAGUGGCCGAUGCCUGAUUAGCUAGUUGGUGGGGUAAUGGCCUACCAAGGCGACGAUCAGUAGUUGGUCUGAGAGGACGACCAGCCACACUGGGACUGAGACACGGCCCAGACUCCUACGGGAGGCAGCAGUGGGGAAUUUUGGACAAUGGGCGAAAGCCUGAUCCAGCAAUGCCGCGUGAGUGAAGAAGGCCUUCGGGUUGUAAAGCUCUUUCAGUCGAGAAGAAAAGGUUGUGACUAAUAAUCACAACUCAUGACGGUAUCGACAGAAGAAGCACCGGCUAACUACGUGCCAGCAGCCGCGGUAAUACGUAGGGUGCGAGCGUUAAUCGGAAUUACUGGGCGUAAAGGGUGCGCAGGCGGCUUUGUAAGUCAGAUGUGAAAUCCCCGGGCUUAACCUGGGAAUUGCGUUUGAAACUACAAGGCUAGA
rnacentral:rRNA from 1 species